GGGCACUUCACAGCCACCCGCACUUCCCUUUCCUCGUGUUUUCCCCUCGCUCACCCUUCCUCGCCCUACCCGGUGGCCCGCCGCUGGGGCCACGCUUCCCCGACCCUCCGCCGCGGCGAGCGCGGGCCCGGCGGGGCUCGAACAGCCGGCGAUCCCCGGGAAUCAGGGGUCGUCCCCGCCACCCCCUGGGCCGCUGGCGCCGCAGCCACCUCCGCUGAGCACCGGGGCAAGAGCGCGGCACCGACCCCCAACCGCCUCCCCUUCACCUCGCCGGGGACGACGGGUCCGGACCCCAACUCACGACUCACCUCCAGGCCGGAAGCAGGAAGGCGGAAGCCGCGACUCUCCCAACCCGCCCACAGGCCGGCCCUCGCCCGGAUCCGGCCUGAGGAAGUCGCGGGGCCAGUUUCCGGCUGCGCCAUUGCUGCGUGGGUCCCGGGAAAGCGGGGAGGGUGGGGCGGCUCCUGGGUUUCCGGGGAGAGGCAGGUGAGGCCGCUCGAGGUGAGCGGCGGCGCCNNNNNNNNNNNNNNNNNNNNNNNNNNNNNNNNNNNNNNNNNNNNNNNNNNNNNNNNNNNUCCGGUCUCUGAGAGCCGGUCUGGAAGCACUGAGGACCCCCUACCUUUGCCCCCGAGGUCAUCCGAACAGCCGCUCCCCUGCGGGAGCCUGGCCAAGGGUGGAGGGCCCUGGUGGGCGAGGUCCGUGACCCCCGGAGACUCCGGCCAAGGAACGGCGGCCAAGAAAGGAGUUGGUCCCCACAAACCGCCUAGAGUCAAGGUGAAGGUCACACCCAGCGACUCCUGAAGGAUUCUAGCGAGUUCCUCUGGGUCACAUCCACUCUUUGACCCUCUCCUCUUCUGGCUGGACGAUAGUUAAAGCCUCACGUCGAGGAGACCAAGCGCAGCAGGACCGUGGUGGAGCCACUGAACGUUGUUUCUAAGGGGAAAUGCAGCCAUGCUGCGUGAAGAAGUUUUUGCUGUUUUCAAUUUAAGAACCUCUUUUCACAAAAGAAUGAUCGAUAUUUGCCCAAAGUAAACUUGAAAAAUAACUAAACUGUGUGGGCAUAGAGUUCCCAUAGAGGUACUUGUUCUUUCAGUGCACAAAUAAAGAGAUUCAAAAGUCAACAAGCAGAAAGAGUGAGUUCUCAUUGUCUUCUAAUCUACAGGAACUGAGAGAUUAACUCGGGUUUGCUUGGUGAUCAAGUUUUGUGAUCUCUUGCACUGAACUGCUCUGUUUGACUACCUCUUCAAAUGUUGCAAGACCUCUUCACUGGUGUGUGCCAAAUAAAGCAGGUUUUUAUUCUUGAAAGACUAUAGAAUGUUCUCUUUGAGGAGCAGGCUGUGACAUGUAUAACUAGUUUAGGGAUAACAACAGUAACCAUUAU
rnacentral:lncRNA from 1 species